rnacentral:rRNA from 1 species
UGGGGAAUCUUGCGCAAUGGGCGAAAGCCUGACGCAGCAACGCCGCGUGCGGGAAGAAGGCCUUCGGGUUGUAAACCGCUUUCAGCAGGAAAGAAAAUGACGGUACCUGCAGAAGAAGGUGCGGCCAACUACGUG